rnacentral:lncRNA from 1 species
GAGUGGAGAUGCGCGAGGUGGAGCCACGUGGUGGCAAAUGCGGCGAAGGCUGAGGCGUCGAUGGAGGAGUAGGAGGAGGAGUUGACGGGGACGGGAGACGGCGGAGAUGAGGGAUAUUGAAGGAAGAAGUUGAGGAGGGGUAAAGGAGAGGAGGGAAAGGAGGGGUAUAAUUGUCUUUUGCCACCAAAGGUUCUAAAGUUUAGCAUCCUAUCCAAACAUCCUAAGGUGCUAAACUUUAGCCCUCUAUUUGAGGGUGCUAAACUUUAGCACUGUGCUAAACUUUAGCACUUGGUUCCCAAACAGGGCCUAAAUGUAUUUUUGCAGUUCCGAGGAGUUAAUGAAGGAGGUGUCAUCGCUCUCGGCGACGCACGUACCAGCAGCCAUCAAUCUAG